UGAGUUUUCUUCAACCCUAGCUUGAAGAGCUUAAUGGUUGAGCUAUUUGCUCUUCGUUUCGUUUGGGUGACCCUAUUUUUGAUGUUUCUAGGGUACUAGGAAGCUUGUGGAUACCUUCGUUCGGCGAAACAAAGAAGUCGAUUUUGGUGGGUUUGACUUCAUGAAAAUGGGGCAAAAUGGCCCCUAUGCCUUCCAAACUUUUUGUAAAGUAUUUUUGAAUGCAAAUUCAUGCUAAACAUGAUUUAUAUGAAUUUUAGAACACUUAACAUGCAUGCCUCAUUAUCAUAAAAUUUGUACUCCAUAUAGUAGAGCUAUAUGUGUAGAUUGCAUGCAUUGUGGAUAGUGCUUGGUUUUACAAGUUGAGAACAUGUCUCCAUGCUAGAAUUGAGUGAACUAUGCAUCAUGAACAUAUUAAUGCCAUGCUUGGGACUCGUUGAACAAAAGUGUCAUAAAGAGGCACUUAGAAUUAGUAAACUAUGAAAAUGCAACUUAGAGACAUGAUGAUAGACCAUUGUGCAUCUGCUAUAUAUUCCAUGUUAGUGACAUGAUGACAUAGAGAUAGGCCUUUGGGACAUUCGAUACAUUCCAUGUUAUUAGACAUGAGGACUUGGUACUUGUGAUAGGAUAUACGACUACUUGCCAUUGUGCUCAUUCGCACAUGCUUGUGAGGGUCGCUCCCUACAAGCCGGCACUCCGGAGAUAGCCUCGCGAUUCAUAUUCGCCGUGCGGGAUUGGGCGCCGAAGUGGAUUGCCGUGGGCCAGGCUCAUUCCUAGGGUGGGGAUGUUGACUACCACGGGGCCAUUAGGCUCGGCACCGGCCAGACAGCCUUCGGGUGGGUCUCAGGGCCAUAGACAGCCUUCGGGUGGGUCUCUUCAGAUUUGACUUGAGUAUUCUUUAUGACAUGUGGACAGAUGAUGACCUAGAGUAUUACUUGGACAUUGACUAGAAUAGUAAACAACGGAACUUUACUAUUUCGCAUUGUGAACAUUAUGAUAGUUGGAGACUUUUACUUCGUGCAUAGUUGCUUCAUACUUAUGCUAAUUAUGCUAAGUAGAGAUAUCAUGUUAUAGCAAGUUACAUUUUUACUUACCUUUCGUUUUUCUACUUUUAUAGUCACUGACAUCUUUUGUAGCUUUGGGCCUUGUGGUGCAUUCACUGAAGUCAGUAAUUGCCCACUGGGAACUAUUUUUAAUAGUUCUCACGCCCCUGUUUUAUGGUUUACUUUUCAGAGCCUUCGGCACCGGCGGAGGCACGGGAUCGCGGCAAGGAGAUCGCUUAGCUAGCUAGCGAGGAGCG
rnacentral:lncRNA from 1 species